CUUCUGUUGCCUGCGCUUUCACUAGCGCGGCGACUAAACCUUACACACAGUGCUUAGUUUUUUCUAACAUUGCUUUGGUUGGACUGCACAAGUCUGGCCAGAGGUUAUAAACACAAGAUUUUAUAUCUUUUCUUACAAAACCAUAGUCAAGAAGUUUUAUUAAAACAAAUCUUCAAAACUUUCAACAACGGAUCUCUUGGUUCUCGCAACGAUGAAGAACGCAGCGAAAUGCGAUACGUAAUGUGAAUUGCAGGUUUUCGUGAAUCAUCGAAUCUUUGAACGCAUAUUGCGCCCUCUGGUAUUCCGGAGGGCAUGCCUGUUUGAGCGUCAUUUCUCUCUCAAGCCCUCGGGUUUGGUAUUGAGUGAUACUCUCUUUCUGGGUUAACUUGAAAUACUGUGGCAAGAGCUGCUGUAGCAGAUCUUCUCUGAACUAACGUUUCUAGGUUCUACCAAUUCGUUAUGGGCAGUUGAGCUCUCUAUUAGCACAUAGGCUCGGCCUUUACAAUAUCUCCAUAAGUUUGACCUCAAAUCAGGUAGGAU
rnacentral:misc_RNA from 1 species